GACGAACGCUGGCGGCGUGCCUAAUACAUGCAAGUAGAACGCUGAAGGAGGAGCUUGCUUCUCUGGAUGAGUUGCGAACGGGUGAGUAACGCGUAGGUAACCUGCCUGGUAGCGGGGGAUAACUAUUGGAAACGAUAGCUAAUACCGCAUAAUAGUAGAUGUUGCAUGACAUUUGCUUAAAAGGUGCAAUUGCAUCACUACCAGAUGGACCUGCGUUGUAUUAGCUAGUUGGUGGGGUAACGGCUCACCAAGGCGACGAUACAUAGCCGACCUGAGAGGGUGAUCGGCCACACUGGGACUGAGACACGGCCCAGACUCCUACGGGAGGCAGCAGUAGGGAAUCUUCGGCAAUGGACGGAAGUCUGACCGAGCAACGCCGCGUGAGUGAAGAAGGUUUUCGGAUCGUAAAGCUCUGUUGUAAGAGAAGAACGAGUGUGAGAGUGGAAAGUUCACACUGUGACGGUAUCUGACCAGAAAGGGACGGCUAACUAC
rnacentral:rRNA from 1 species